GCAUCGGUGGUUCAGUGUUAGAAUGCUCGCCUGCCACGCGGGCCGCCCGGAUUCGAUUCCCGGCCCAUGCA
rnacentral:tRNA from 1 species